rnacentral:rRNA from 1 species
UGGGGAAUUUUGCACAAUGGGCGCAAGCCUGAUGCAGCGACGCCGCGUGAGGGAUGAAGGCCUUCGGGUUGUAAACCUUUUUCGCUCAUGGUCAAGCCGCAGCUUUGGGUUGUGGUGAGGGUAGUGGGUAAAGAAGCGCCGGCUAACUACGUGCCAGCAGCCGCGGUAAUACGUAGGGCGCGAGCGUUUUCCGGAAUUAUUGGGUGUAAAGGGCUUGUAGGCGGUUGGUCGCGUCUGCCGUGAAAUCCUCUGGCUUAACUGGGGGCGUGCGGUGGGUACGGGUUGACUUGAGUGCGGUAGGGGAGACUGGAAUUCCUGGUGUAGCGGUGGAAUGCGCAGAUAUCAGGAGGAACACCGGUGGCGAAGGCGGGUCUCUGGGCCGUUACUGACGCUGAGGAGCGAAAGCGUGGGGAGCGAACAGG